AGUGGCGGACGGGUGAGUAACGCGUGAGAUCUGCCUUGGGGUCGGGGACAACCACUGGAAACGGUGGCUAAUACCGGAUAAGCCGAUUGGUGAAAGAUUUAUUGCCCGAAGAGGAGCUCGCGUCUGAUUAGCUAGUUGGUGAGGUAAGAGCUCACCAAGGCAGCGAUCAGUAGCUGGUCUGAGAGGACGAUCAGCCACACUGGGACUGAGACACGGCCCAGACUCCUACGGGAGGCAGCAGUGGGGAAUUUUCCGCAAUGGGCGAAAGCCUGACGGAGCAAGACCGCGUGAGGGAGGAAGGCUCUUGGGUUGUAAACCUCUUUUCUCAGGGAAGAAGCUCUGACGGUACCUGAGGAAUCAGCCUCGGCUAACUCCGUGCCAGCAGCCGCGGUAAUACGGAGGAGGCAAGCGUUAUCCGGAAUUAUUGGGCGUAAAGCGUCCGCAGGUGGCGAUUCAAGUCUGCUGUCAAAGCACGGGGCUUAACUCCGUAAAGGCAGUGGAAACUGAAUAGCUAGAGUGCCGUAGGGGUAGAGGGAAUUCCCGGUGUAGCGGUGAAAUGCGUAGAGAUCGGGAAGAACAUCGGUGGCGAAAGCGCUCUACUGGACGGCAACUGACACUCAGGGACGAAAGCUAGGGGAGCGAAUGGGAUUAGAUACCCC
rnacentral:rRNA from 1 species